GCCGCGCCGCGGUCGGGCGUAGGGAUUCAGGGACGCAGUGCGCGGAGCGCUCUUCGCUGAUGCGGCUGCGGGGAAACAGAGGAACCGAGGGACUACUUUUUCUAGACUCAUCACUUUCCCCAGGCUCCGGUUUCUCCCUUCUCCCCUCCCCCCUCCCACUUUUUUUUUUUUUUAACAUUUUGCCACAUCAUGCGACUCGGGGCGAACUACGUCAUUUCCGUAGGCGCUGUAAGACCCACCCACGCACUUCCCGGUGCACGUGAUGCGGGCUUGCCAUUCAAGAUGUGACCUCAUGGCUCCCUGCUGCCGCCAUGCCUGCCACUUUUAUGCCUCUGAAACUGCUCCCCUCAACUAAGAGAGAUCCAUCCACCUGCUUCUGCCUCAAGGAUGCUGAGAUUAAAGGUAUGCAACAGCCCAGCCCUUCUGUCUUGACUGUAGUAAUAAUUAAACAGGUAUGUAUAGAUAUCAAAACUCAGAGAACUGUACACUUUUUUUUUAAAAGAUUUUAUUUAUGUGAGUACACUGUAGCUGUUUCCAGACACACCAGAAGAGGGCAUCAGAUCCCUUUACAGAUGGCUGUGAGCCACCACAUAGUUGCUGGGAAUUGAACUCAGGAUUUGGAAGAGCAGUCAGUGCUCUUAACCACUGAGCCAUCUCUCCAGCCCCCACUUUUUUUUUUCUUCAUGUUUUAAAGUCUUUUUUACACUGAUGUGGUGAGUGGGCAAAUGGACAUGCUCAUGCCAAAGCCAAUGUGUGGAGGUCAGAGGAAAACUUUUGGGAGUUGGCUCUUUCCUUCCAACCUGUGAGAUCCCGAGGUCAGACUUGGGUCAUUAGAUUUGGUGGCUUGCACCCUUACCUGCUGAAUCAUCUCACCAGCCUAUGUGAAGUUCAGUGUGUAUCAAUUAUUCUUCAGCACGACUAUCUAAAAAUAUUUUCAUUAUUUCAGAUACAUUUCUUUACCACUAUGAGGAUUCACUGGGUCAGAGAGACGGCUGGCUAUACAGAGUAGCAUGCAGAGGGAAAGUAACCGACUAGAAUGGGUGGUACAAAUAUAAAUUACUGCACUGAAAAUUCAGUAUGAUCUACAGAGACCUACAACGCUAGUUGAGAAAACAGACAACAGAAGCCACAGCAGUCACCUGCUUU